CUGAAGUUAGGUGCUUGCGUC
rnacentral:siRNA from 1 species